rnacentral:rRNA from 1 species
GUAGGUGGCAAGCGUUGUCCGGAAUUAUUGGGCGUAAAGCGCGCGCAGGUGGGUUCUUUAAGUCUGAUGUGAAAGCCCCCGGGCUCAACCGGGGAGGGUCAUUGGAAACUGGGGAACUUGAGUGCGGGAGAGGAAAGUGGAAUUCCACGUGUAGCGGUGAAAUGCGUAGAUAUGUGGAGGAACACCAGUGGCGAAGGCGACUUUCUGGCCUGUAACUGACACUGAGGCGCGAAAGCGUGGGGAGCAAACAGGAUUAGAUACCCUGGUAGUCCACGCCGUAAACGAUGAGUGCUAAGUGUUGGGGGGUUUCCGCCCCUCAGUGCUGCAGCUAACGCAUUAAGCACUCCGCCUGGGGAGUACGGUCGCAAAGACUG